UACGUAGGGGGCAAGCGUUGUCCGGAUUUAUUGGGCGUAAAGAGCGUGUAGGCGGCCAUGCAGGUCCGUUGUGAAAACUCGAGGCUCAACCUCGAGACGCCGGUGGAAACCGUGUGGCUAGAGUCCGGAAGAGGAGAGUGGAAUUCCUGGUGUAGCGGUGAAAUGCGUAGAUAUCGUGAGGAAGACCAGUGGCGAAGGCGGGUCUCUGGACAGUUCCUGACACUGAGGCACGAAGGCCAGGGGAGCAAACGGG
rnacentral:rRNA from 1 species